GGCCGGUUAGCUCAGUUGGUUAGAGCGUGGUGCUAAUAUCCGAGCAAGUCCCUGACUUCUCCCGGUACGCCAAGGUCGCGGGUUCGACCCCCGUACGGGCCA
rfam:Sistotremastrum suecicum HHB10207 ss-3 unplaced genomic scaffold SISSTscaffold_186, whole genome shotgun sequence.